rnacentral:rRNA from 1 species
CCUACGGGUGGCAGCAGUCGGGAAUAUUGCGCAAUGGAGGAAACUCUGACGCAGUGACGCCGCGUGCCGGAAGAAGGUUUUCGGAUUGUAAACUGCUUUAGACAGGGAAGAAACACGCCAUUACCUGUAACAUACGCCCCGGCUAACUACGUGCCAGCAGCCGCGGUAAUACGUAGGGAGCAAGCGUUAUCCGGAUUUAUUGGGUGUAAAGGGUGCGUAGACGGGAAGUCAAGUUGGUUGUGAACUCCCUCGGCUUAACUGAGGAACUGCAACCAAAACUAACUGGCUUGAGUGCGGGAGAGGAAAGUGGAAUUCCUAGUGUAGCGGUGAAAUGCGUAGAUAUUAGGAGGAACAUCAGUGGCGAAGGCGACUUUCUGGACAGUAACUGACGUUGAGGCACGAAAGUGUGGGGAGCAAACAGGAUUAGAUACCCUUGUAGUC